AAGUCGUAACAAGGUUUCCGUAGGUGAACCUGCGGAAGGAUCAUUAAUGAUUUUUAAAGCAAACCAAGCUUUUUUUAAAAGUAAGGUUUUGCGAAUGUAUAUUUAAAACCCCACUCUUUUAAAAAUCAAAUUUUUUCAUUCAUUAUAUUAUGAAUAAAUAAAAAAAAGAUCACUUUCAACAACGGAUCUCUUGGCUCUC
rnacentral:misc_RNA from 1 species